GACGAACGCUGGCGGCGUGCUUAACACAUGCAAGUCGAACGAUGAAGCCGGAGCUUGCUCUGGUGAAUUAGUGGCGAACGGGUGAGUAACACGUGAGUAACCUGCCCUUGACUCUGGGAUAACUGCUAGAAAUGGUAGCUAAUACCGGAUACGACCCUAGGCGGCAUCGCCAGGGGGUGGAAAGAAUUUCGGUCAAGGAUGGACUCGCGGCCUAUCAGCUAGGUGGUGAGGUAACGGCUCACCAAGGCGACGACGGGUAGCCGGCCUGAGAGGGUGACCGGCCACACUGGGACUGAGACACGGCCCAGACUCCUACGGGAGGCAGCAGUGGGGAAUAUUGCACAAUGGGCGCAAGCCUGAUGCAGCAACGCCGCGUGAGGGAUGACGGCCUUCGGGUUGUAAACCUCUUUUAGUAGGGAAGAAGCGAAAGUGACGGUACCUGCAGAAAAAGCACCGGCUAACUACGUGCCAGCCGCCGCAGUAA
rnacentral:rRNA from 1 species